AUUUUGAGGGGUGACGCUGUACGCUGUAUGUGUUGUUUUCUUAGAUUCUUUGGAAAGACAAAUUCUUUUAAUAAUCAUAAGCGUAUAGCUUUUCCCCUUAAAUA
rnacentral:pre_miRNA from 1 species